ACCUUAAAAGCAGCAUAAUGGCUUAAUGUGUUGCCUUAUUACAGCCAUGUGUGCUCAGGGGGGUUUAUAGCACAUGCUGAAGGAAACACGUUGUCUGUGUGCGGUCCUCGUGGUCCAGACUCUCCAUGCCAUACCUCCAUCGGCCGUGAUGGUCCGACCCGAACAGGGCGGAUAUUCCCUAUUAUAGACAACAUCACAGCACAAGUACAAUUAAAACCUCCAUAAAUCAAACCAUGUCCUUCGAUGACACAAUUUUUUUGGUUCUGGACUUCAGGAGUUGCCAUUGUAAAACCUUGAUUAACAGUGCAGAUAAUGUUUUAUGUAAAACAUUGUUAACCUUAACCAUGAUAUAACAAAAAUACAGCAAAACUACUCAUCCUUGAAGAUGUCAAUUUCAUCUUCGGUACGUCGUACACAGUACCGGUGCGCCCAAUACUACGCAGUUAGCGUUAGGCCUCACGCGACUCGCGUGACAUCAUCAUUCUGUCACUUGUUGUAACUUGUCUAGACUAGUAGCGCUGUAUGGCUUGCAGCAGCGUGCCGCAAAGAUGUCGCGGCAUUUUAAAUCAGGUCAUGAAAAAAGAAAGAGGUGUCUUCAUGACAAUGAGGAAAGACAACAGCAGUCAGAGUUCUGAACCGGCUCUAUACAUACAGUUGAUGGAUCGCUAACUAGCUAGAUAGCCAAAACAACAGGCCAACGCUUGCUUGCAGACGACUUCAAAGAUUUUUACGUCAGUGGUGGGCCAACGUACUUGGUAUCAUCAAAAUGAUUACGUCUAAAGAGGCUUUGGAUUCCAAUCUUGUGAGUGGUAGUAAUUGUGAGAAUGACGCUCGAGGCCAAUCAGCCGUCGUCGACACUAAAUUAAAAAGAUCCACUUCUCCCAUUAAUGCCGCAGAUAACAUCUGCAAUCGACAAGUUUGCACUCAUGGAGCUUUCAUCGCAAGCCAAGUCGUGAAAAGUCACAUGCGAGACAUAGUUGUACGUGUUUGGGUUCCCUUUUUAUUCACUUGUCUGUC